rnacentral:sRNA from 1 species
GACCCUUCUUAAGCCGAGGGUCACCUAGCCAACUGACGUUGUUAGUGAACUCUCAUUGUUCACACUAUAUAUAAGCCAAUUGCGGUUAUUGCAAUUGGCUCUUUUUU